UCGAGGACAAGACUUUCAGUUGUUAAUUGGGGAAGACUCCCUAGAUUCGAAAGUGACUCAGACUUGAAAAAGAAGAGACAUGAUCUCCACUGGCCCUCUGAACUAAGAACACAGAAGCACAAGUAUGUGUUCAUUUAGUGGGGCUGAGCCAUCUGGAUGUGUGUCGGUCCUAACUGAAGAUCUCUGGAUCAUUGGACUUGGGAUGCUAUAGUCUUACCAACAGAGGCUUUGUAGUGAGAAGCAGGAAGUAGCGACAUAAAGGCUGCAUGACCUUGCCCACACGAUUGUACAGCUUCAGCAUCACUGUAGGGACCAUUGCAGAAAACAAUUUGUUUCCCCCUGCCAAAUAACUGGAG